GGGGAAUAUUGCACAAUGGGGGAAACCCUGAUGCAGCAACGCCGCGUGAGCGAUGAAGGCCUUCGGGUCGUAAAGCUCUGUCCUAAGGGAAGAUAAUGACGGUACCUUAGGAGGAAGCCCCGGCUAACUACGUGCCAGCAGCCGCGGUAAUACGUAGGGGGCAAGCGUUAUCCGGAAUCAUUGGGCGUAAAGGGUGCGUAGGCGGCCCUAUAGGUCAGAGGUCAAAGGCUACGGCUCAACCGUAGUAAGCCUUUGAAACUGUAGGGCUUGAGUGCAGGAGAGGAGAGUGGAAUUCCUAGUGUAGCGGUGAAAUGCGUAGAUAUUAGGAGGAACACCAGUGGCGAAGGCGACUCUCUGGACUGCAACUGACGCUGAGGCACGAAAGCGUGGGGAGCGAAC
rnacentral:rRNA from 1 species